rnacentral:rRNA from 1 species
GACGAACGCUGGCGGCGUGCUUAACACAUGCAAGUCGAACGGAAAGGCCCUGCUUUUGUGGGGUGCUCGAUUGGCGAUCGGGUGAGUAACACGUGAGUAACCUGCCCUUGACUUUGGGAUAACUUCAGGAAACUGGGGCUAUUACCUGAUAGGAUCUCCUGCUGCAUGGUGGGGGUUGGAUAGUUUCGGCUGUUGGGGAUGGACUCGCGGCUUAUCAGCUUGUUUGUGGGGUAGUGGCUUACCAAGGGUUUGACGGGUAGCCGUCCUGAGAGGGUGACCGGGAACAUUGGGACUGAGAGACGGAGCAGAAGGCAACGGGAGGCAGCAGUGGGGAAUAUUGCACAAUGGGCGGAAGCCUGAUGCAGCAACGCCGCGUGCGGGAUGACGGCCUUCGGGUUGUAAACCGAUUUCGCCUGUGACGAAGAGUGAGUGACGGUAAUGGGUAAAGAAGCACCGGCUAACUACGUG